rnacentral:tRNA from 1 species
CUAUAGCGCAGUUGGUAGCGCGCAUGCAUGGGGUGCAUGAGGUCGUGGGUUCAAAUCCCANNUAUAAA